rnacentral:tRNA from 1 species
UCCGUUGUGGUCUAGUGGUUAGGAUUUAUGGCUCUCACCCAUAAGCCGGGGUUCAAUUUCCCGCAACGGAA